AGAGUUUGAUCCUGGCUCAGAUUGAACGCUGGCGGCAUGCUUUACACAUGCAAGUCGAACGGCAGCACGGGUGCUUGCACCUGGUGGCGAGUGGCGAACGGGUGAGUAAUGCACCGGAACGUACCCAGUAAUGGGGGAUAACACAUCGAAAGAUGUGCUAAUACCGCAUACGCCCUGAGGGGGAAAGCGGGGGAUCGUAAGACCUCGCGUUAUUGGAGCGGCCGAUGCCGGAUUAGCUAGUUGGUGAGGUAAGAGCUCACCAAGGCGACGAUCCGUAGCUGGUCUGAGAGGACGACCAGCCACACUGGGACUGAGACACGGCCCAGACUCCUACGGGAGGCAGCAGUGGGGAAUUUUGGGCAAUGGGCGCAAGCCUGAUCCAGCCAUGCCGCGUGAGUGAAGAAGGCCUUCGGGUUGUAAAGCUCUUUCGCAAGGAAAGAAAACUUAUCUACUAA
rnacentral:rRNA from 1 species